GACGAAGGAUGCAAGCGUUAUCCGGAUUCAUUGGGUUUAAAGGGAGCGUAGGUGGUCUUAUAAGUCAGUGGUGAAAUCUCUGGGCUUAACCCAGAAAUUGCCAUUGAUACUGUAGGACUUGAGUAUAGUUGCCGUUGGCGGAAUAUGACAUGUAGUGGUGAAAUACAUAGAGAUGUCAUAGAACACCGAUUGCGAAGGCAGCUAACGAAACUAUAACUGACACUGAGGCGCGAAAGUGCGGGGAUCAAACAGG
rnacentral:rRNA from 1 species